UACGUAGGGGGCAAGCGUUGUCCGGAAUCAUUGGGCGUAAAGAGCGUGUAGGCGGCCCGAUAAGUCCGCUGUGAAAGUCCAGGGCUCAACCCUGGAAUGCCGGUGGAUACUGUCGGGCUCGAAUCCGGAAGAGGUGAGUGGAAUUCCUGGUGUAGAGGUGAAAUUCGUAGAUAUUGGGUGGAACACCGGUGGCGAAAGCGGCUCACUGGCUCGGUUCUGACGCUGAGGCGCGAAAGCGUGGGGAGCAAACAGG
rnacentral:rRNA from 1 species